rnacentral:misc_RNA from 1 species
UUUCCGUAGGUGAACCUGCGGAAGGAUCAUUAUUGUAUAACCGAGGUGCGAGGGCUGUCGCUGACCCGAAAGGUCGUGCACGCCCGAGUGCCCUCACACACAUCCAUCUCACCCCUAUGUGCACCACCGCGUGGGUCCCCCUUUGGCUUGUUCGGAGGGGGGCUUACGUUUUCACACAAACUUUGUAUGCAGUGUAGAAUGUAUUUUUUGUUUUUGCGAUCACGCAAUCAAUACAACUUUCAACAACGGAUCUCUUGGCUCUCGCAUCGAUGAAGAACGUAGC